rnacentral:lncRNA from 1 species
GCGGCAGGUUGGUCCUGGAGCAGAUAAGCGCAGAAUAUUUAGGCGAAAGCGAGAGGAAGGGGGGAGCGCGGGGCAGGAGGAGUACCUCGGCCAAGAAAAUUAUGCAUGCGUUAGGGAAGCUCUGAGAGAAUGGCUGUGGAAGCUCUCCACUGUGGUUUGAAUCCACGGGGUAUUGAUCACCCUGCCCAUGCUGAAGGUAUUAAACUGCAAAUUGAAGGUGAAGGUGUGGAAUCUCAAUCCAUUAAAAAUAAAAAUUUCCAGAAGGUGCCUGACCAGAAAGGAACUCCCAAGCGACUGCAGGCAGAAGCUGAGACGGCUAAGGGCGAGCCCUGCUGAGACUUACUGACAAAAAGCUCGAGCGAAUGGGGAUUGCCCAGGAGAACCUCCGGCAGCACAUCUUACAACAGGUGCUCCAGCUGAAGGUGCGAGAAGAAGUCAGAAAUCUACAGUUACUCACACAAGCAUCAUCUGAGGGUUCUCCAUAAACACGGUUAGCCUUCCAAGCUGCUGUCCUGCCAGUUGAUAUGAACAUGGCCUGUUCCUCACAGAAAGACUAACCCAUGGCACUGCCAGAAGAUAUCCUUGGAUCGUGGACAGAUUAACUGGAUUAACUGAAAAAAGCACCCAUUCAGUCAAUAUUAUGGGUUUUGGAAAAAUCUUGCUUUGCUGUGGAUUUAAAAUGAGGUGCAUAAUAUAAUGCCAACUCAUUCCAAGUGGUCAUUGGCAGACCAUUAGCUGGAAAAUUGCUUCCAGUUUUCAUCACUGUGCAUAACUCAAGUUCCCUUUGGGGAGCUGUCUGUGCCCUUCACUAGAAGUCCUGUUUUAGCAUGGCAACUACUGGAUUAUUUUAUUAUGUGUGCAGAUGGCAUGAUGUUUUAGAAAAAAAAAAUUACAGCAAUUCUGCAAUCUC